AACGUAGGAGGCGAGCGUUAUCCGGAUUCACUGGGCGUAAAGCGCGCGUAGGCGGUUGGGUAAGUCGGAUGUAAAAGCCCCUGGCUCAACUGGGGGAGGUCAUUCGAUACUGCCCGGCUUGAGGGUGAGAGAGGAGAGUGGAAUUCCCGGUGUAGCGGUGGAAUGCGUAGAGAUCGGGAGGAACACCAGUGGCGAAGGCGACUCUCUGGCUCAUACCUGACGCUGAGUGCGCGAAAGCGUGGGGAGCAAACGGG
rnacentral:rRNA from 1 species